CGCCCCGUCGUUCUCGAUCACACCACGGCAGAGGUCGGGGUCCCCUCGGGGUCCCCUCGGGGUCUCCGAUGGGAUCUCCAUUGGGGUCCCCUUGAAGUCCCCGAGGCCGGGAACGGACGCGGGGCACAAAGGUUCCCUCUCGGGCCGAGGCUCCGUACCGCGACCCCCCCACUCCCGAGGACGUCGCUUCGUGUCGACAAUAAUUAAUCGGGUCAUUAAUUAACCUGACGCCGUUUUAAACGACGCGCCGCCUCCCCAGUGAUUGUUUUGUACGCGUCCAGCCAUUUCUCGGCGAUCCACUGCUGGAUGAGUGCCCGCCCCCCCCCCUCCACCACCACUCCGUGCAAGUGGUGGAAGGGAGGGCUUAUUUUAUCAUAUUGUUCAGAGAUUUGGCGAAGACGGGGAGCAUCGGCCGUUUUCUAAAACAAUAUAUAGUUGGUUCAUAAUCGUUCUUUGCGUCAUUGUUGGUGGAUAAUCUGAGCUGAGACGCGGGAAGUUGGUGGUUGAGGAAGAGGCCUGGUCGGUUCCCGGGCGCCCUGUUGUUGCCUGGUCGCUUCUACCGGGGAAGGCGCGUGAAACCCGGUAGGGAGCAUAGGGACGAGUGGGGGGUCGGGCCACGUUACGAGCGGAGAGUGUUGAGACUCAAGUCUAUAAAGCCAAAACAUAUUUGUUUUUGCUGCGGGUUUUAAGUAAAGUUACUUGUCGAAAUGUUAUAUGACCAGGAAUGUUUGUUGUAUUUCGCAAAUCGGGCUCGGCGGAUAGAGCGAUAAGGUUGCGAGCUAAAAUAUUGGUAGGGGGUUGACUUUGCCCAUCAUCCCUUCCCCGGGGUCGAUAAAAAAGGUACCACUUAGUGGGGAAGUCGACAGUGGGGGUUGUCCUUGAAGACUCGCCCUGCGAUAGGAGUGGAUUUAUGCACCUCUUACUUUGUGAGGUGAGUAUCGCGUCAAUGGUCUUGAUCACGACACCAUUUCGACUUCACAUCGCAGGAUGGGUAGAGCUAUCGGUCGUGGUUUUACCAACUUACGAGAGUUGGUGGAUCAAGCAUACACAUCACCGUAGAAUGCUAGACUCCCAAGGUAGCCAGGACGAUACUGUACAAAAAUUGUGUUUGUGAGUGAACCCGUCAUUCCCUCAUGCAUGGUGGGGGUGUCCCGUUUUAUUUCCCUUGUACAACGCUUAUUGAUAAUAAAUUGGUCAAACGUCCUAGGACCUACCCUAACAAACUCUGGAGGACUUCCAUGAGGCUGUGUAGGAUAAAUAUAUGACAUUACAGUAUUACUAAGUACAACAAUUAGGAUUUGUAAAGUAACUAGCAAAGAAAGUAUAUUAUCAGAAACGAGUGUUGGGUUGAAUUCUAUAGGACAUGGAAGGGAAGGACGCAUUGGUAUCAAACGUGAGAAUGUAAUAUUUGUCGAUUUGAGGUUUCCCUUGUCAAUAAUGCAGAUAUCAGACAAAGGAAAAUUAUUUAUAUAAGUAAUCAGCAGUAAUUAUCCACGUUUUUAUUUGUAAGAAAUUGACCAUGAUGUGAUGGUGCCAGUCUGCAGAAAGUGACAAUUUUUUUAAGACUGUGGACGAAGAUUUUUUACUUGAAAUUAAAAGUUGUAAAAGUGUAUUUUGCCUGAAAUAGUGAUGAUUUCAUUGACUUCAACAUGAGACUGGAUAUGAAGCUUCUUUGAAUUUAACUUUAGGUUUGAGGUGAAUCUUGGGCUUGAAUACCAAAAGCUGCCAAACAGUUUAUUAUAGGGUGAAGGAGACAAUGCUUUUGCACUGUUCUGCAAGUUGGUGAAUGCUCACAUUUGUGCCAUUGUGCCGUGUGGUUGCUUUGUGCGCGACAGAGGCGGACGGAAGGGAGAGUUCCUGUUGUGUGAUGAGCGCUGUAAAGCGUUGGCGCUGACAAAACGCGCUUACCCUGCGCAUUGCCCGCGCUUGCGACUCACAGCUGCGCAUCCACCUCCCUCCUCCACCAUCACAUAUCUCCACCACCCUCCACCACCACCUCCUCCAUCUCCCUCCACUACCAUCUCCCUUUAUCACAACUUCCCUCCACCACCACCACCUACAACCACCACCCUCCACAACCACCUCCCAUCAUCACCAACUCGAUCAUCGCCAACACCACAAUCGCCACAAACACCAUCGCCACAUCACAAUCACCACCAAUGUUUAGAUUACCAUCACCAUAAACACCCAUCAGCAACACAAUCUCAACCACCACCACGAUCACCACCACAUCCCCGAGCUCCGCGCGCCCCUCCCAGCAGCAGCGCGGCGCGGUAAAGCGCGGCGGCGCAGCGAGGCGAGCGCUCUCCCGCUAACAUGUCCGAAAAUGACAGCAAUCUGAACGGCGUGGCCGAUGGCACGGGCGAGUGCACCGAGGGGGGCAUGUGCCGGGACUUCCUGCGCAACGUGUGCAAGCGGGGCAAGCACUGCCGCUACCACCACCCUGAGUUCAGCGAGGUCAUCAACAUGGGCGUGCGCCGCAACGAGCUGAGCUUCUGCCACGACUUCCAGAACGGCAGCUGCACACGGCCCAACUGCAAGUUCGUGCACUCGCCCAAGCAGGACGAGGAGUUCUACCGGCAGCACGGGGAGCUGCCGGCGCACCUCAAGCAGACGGUGGCCGCCGGCCUUGGCCUCUCGCUGCGGGACCUGCAACUGCGGCAGGGCGAGGUGCCCGUGUGCCACGACAACCUCAACAGCGGCUGCCUCAGAGGCAAGCGCUGCAAGUUCCGGCACGUGACGCGCGAGGAGUUCACGCUGGAAAUGGGGUUGUGUGGCCGCGCCGGCGCACCGGACGCCACCGCUGUGACCAUCCUGCCGCCCCCCCCAGCGAUGCCCGCCACCAUGAUGCCACGCUACCGCUUCGAUGGGUUCGGCGAGGCCUUCGAGGAGGAGCGCUUUGUUGAGUUUGAGCUGGCACGCGCCAAGCGGCGCCGCCUGGAGGAGCCGUGGGCCGAGCGCUUCGAGCACCCGCUGCCCACGCUGCGCCUCGCCGACACGCAGCUGCUGCUGCUGCAGGAGGAGAAUCUAAUGCUGCGGCGGCGCAUGGAGGAGCUGCGCAAGCAGGCGGUCGACCUGACGGCCGUCAACGAGGCGCUGCUGGAGCAAAACGCGCGGCUGCGCGUGCAGGCUGGCAAGGUAGUGACGCUCACCUCGGCCGAACAGACGCUGGUGCCGCGCGCCCCCACCGUCGUGGUGGCCGCCGCUGCCAUGCCCAGCUACAGCCAUGCGCUGGGCCAGCCGCUCACCACGCUGAGUGGGCAGACGCUGCAGGGCCGGCCCGUGUCGCAGCAGGAGCUGGUAGCGCCGAGCGGGGCGCCCACUGCGCAGGCCUCUAACCCGGGGGCGCCACCACCCCAGCCCGUGGCACCGCCACAUCUGAACCCUGAGGCAUUGGCGCCCCUACCAGCCACUCUGGGGUUGGCACCCGCCGUGUCACUCGCCACGGUGGCCGUGUCGGUGGCGCCGGUUGUGUCCAUGGCGCAGUCGCUGUCGGGGAUCACCAUGAGCCACGCCACCACGCCCAUCAUGACGUUCCCCAUCGCAACUCAGAGCAUACAUAUGACGUCCCUGCCACACUAGCCACCACCACGAUGCUGGCAGCGAAUCUCUGAUGCUUGCAGAACUCAACCUUUGAAUGCCGGAUCCUCUUUGUUUUUUUAAGGAGAAAUGUGUCUGAAAGUGAAAAAUCUCUCCAACUCAAACUGGUAUUGGGCAGUGCUCACCUCAGUUGGCUGUGAAGUGUGGAUAUUCCACAUUCUUUAGGGCUAAACCAACUGGUCCCAACAUCUUGCAACAUUGUUUUUUUUAUGUAACCUUUGAGGGGAUGACGGGCUGAAUCAAUUUCCGAUCAGGAUUACAAUUUUCCACUUGGCAGUUAUGAGUUGAUUUUUACACCCGGCCAAUUGAGUUUCGGUAAUAUCGAGUAAAAAACUAAAAUCACGAUUGGAGUUUUGAAGAUGGCAAGGACACACGGUGGCCUGCUGAAGUCACAUGAUCAUUUAAUUGAUGGUUUUCAUAGUGGAUAUCAUUCUUGGAAUUGAAGCGGCACUCCUAAGUAAUGUGACAUGGCGGUGUGUACACUACCGGACUGCCUCGCCCUGUGAGCAGGGGAAAUAAUGUCGCGAGGGCGCACUUGAUAAUGUGUCUCUGCUUUAGGUCUGUUCCAAAGAGAUGGUUCCACACUUGCUUUAUUACGAGUUGUAGUUUUCAUAAAUAUUGCAUGAAGAGAUCAAUUGAUCAGGCUUUUGUGUAAUACAAGCAUGUAAAUCGCUAUUCAUAAUAAAGGUUUUUGGGUUAGGUCGCCUAAGUAUAAAUGUGUCGAAACCCUCCACCACCCGACACAGCCAAUUAGUAAAGGAAUUGUCACGUAAACAACAUGCCAAAUAGUUACUAUCUUAAUUUUGGAGCUUUCGUGACUGCAGGAAUUAUUCUUUGUUUCUUUCGACGUGACUUAACAGAAAGAAACAAAGAAAAAUAGUUACUACUUCAGCCCACGGGUGUAUUGGAGAGUAAACCCACAACCUUUACAAUUUUAGUACGACGUUUCGCUGGUAUUUACAACCAGCAUCAUCGGGCGAUUUGCCAGAAUAGUGACGCAAUCCACCUGCUCAUUCAUAACAAAUUCAGAGCAUCUUGUGAAUGUGAUUAAAGAUAUUAAACUUGACCCAAAUGAUAUUCUACUGAGUUUUGAUGUAAUUUCUCUAUUCACUAAGGUUCCAGUUAACAUGUCCCUUAAAUUACUUGUGGCAGAUACUAUAUUGGACAGACGGGACGUAACAUUAGCGUAAGAUUAAUAGAACACCAAAAAAAUUAUUUAAUACUCUCAAACACAACUGUCGGCAGUUGCACAAUAUGCUUGCCAACAAUUGAUUUUGAUAACGUUGAAGUGUUGUGUAAAACUAAUUGACCAAGACUAAUUUGAGAAUCCAUUGAAACUGACAGAAAUUCAAAUAAUUUUAACCGCUCUGACAGCUACAAGCUUAGUGCGGCCUGGAAGCGUAUUAAGUAAUACAUAUUAUAAUUCCUUAUAGAGGAAACAUACUAAUUAACUAAUUACCAAUCUAUAAUAAUACAAUAGCCCCUCCGCCUCUGAUCUCUGCACCUGAUUGGGUGCGGUGAUGACGUCGUCCUGCUACUCUAAGACCGGAAUCAGGUGGAUUGCUUCACUAUUCUGGCAAAUCGCCUGAUGAUGCUGGAUGUAAUUACCAGCGAAACGUCGUACUCCAAUUGUAAAUGUUGUGGAUUUAAUCUCCAACACACCGGUGGGCUGAAGUAGUAACUAAUUGGCGUUUUGAUUGUGACAAAUCCCUAACUAAUCUUUAUGAAUAUUGAUAGCGAAAGCCUACGUGUAAAAAUGUCAGUCCCUAAAUAUUUUUUUGUUACAUGGCAUUUUUCUCCAUGCAUAAUUUUUCAUUCCAAUGAAACUGCACAUUUUUUUAUUGUGUUCUUUAGGAAAUCUCAGUUUGUAUACAAAUAUUGGCAGACUUAUUUGUGGUGAUCUCAAUUCCUCACACCUUUGUGGUAUGAACAGUGUUUUCAUUUGCAUCUGUAAUGGUAAAUUAAUAUGGCCCUGACAUAUAUCCUAAUGUUAAUGAUUGAACAUUGUACUGUUUUUUUAACUGUUUUAAGUUAAUGUGGACAGUGGCAAUUUGGUAAAUUGAAUAAAAUUGGAGCUUAAA